CCGGCCCUUCCAGUCGAGGGCCGCCCUGUCCGGCCCGGCCCGGCCCGCGCGGGGAGGGUUCCUCCGGCCCUUUGGGUGUUCCCGGCAUCAAACGCGUGCUACCCCGGCGUGUCACGUUUAUUCCCAUUGUAGGGAUGCGGCAACUGAGGCCGGGCUGUGCAGCGCAGCUAGGGUUAGGAAUGGGCCCCUUGCCCUUUGCGUGUAGUGUUGGCCGCUCGAAAUGAGGGUGAAAACACACUGCCCCGAUCUCCGGCUGCCCUCGCGGGUGGUCACGCCGGCGUCUAACGUCUGACGUCAAUCGACUGGUUUCGUGUCGGAGAUUCGGCCGGUUUCUAUCCGCGAAUCGGCCGGCUGAGUGACACCGAUCCCUUCGAAGCGUUAAACCAGCGUAGGCGUGUUUGUGUCGGGGCACGCGCCAGUUUAGCAGCACUGAUUUCAAAUAGCGGCGAUCCCGCCGGCAGUGCGAGACCGCUCGGUACAACGCGGGGCCCGGUUUCAGACUAGCCCCGACGGAGAAAUGGGGGCCCAGAUCUGUACCGCCGGUGCUCUGCAAAUACUUCAAAUAGACGAUAGAGACCCAUCAAGUGACACGGUGACCCAUCUCAUUUCAGUAUGAGGAGAACGGAAGAUAAUUGCUGCAUAGGAAGAACGGUCCCAUGGCGGUGAGCGAGGUCCUCAUGUUCUCCAGUGGAACAGAACCAGGACUGGGGGGAGAGGAGGAAUCACUCGCUUUAGAGCCACUUCAGAAAAAACAUGAGACACUCAUAGCGUGGAGCAGAGAAUUGAUUGCAUGCAGAUUCGCUGCAGAAUGAAAAUUUAUGCCAACAAAAUACAUUUCAUAUUCAA